rnacentral:rRNA from 1 species
UGAGUACGAGACGCUACGGCGUUGAAGCAGUGUAUGUCAGACUUCCAAGAAAAGCUCGCAAUGUCAUAAACAAAUAAUGCCUGUACCAUAACCGACACAGGUGGGUAGGUAGAGUAUACUAAGGGGCGCGAGAUAACUCUCUCUAAGGAACUCGGCAAAAUGACUCCGUAACUUCGGGAGAAGGAGUGCCUUAUUUUUAUAAGGUUGCAAUAACAAGAUCCAAGCAACUGUUUACCAAAAACACAGGUCUCCGCUAAGUCGUAAGACGAUGUAUGGGGGCUGACGCCUGCCCAGUGCCAGAAGGUUAAAGAAGUUGGUUAGCAAUAGCGAAGCUGAUAACUGAAGCCCUGGUGAACGGCGGCCGUAACUAUAACGGUCCUAAGGUAGCGAAAUUCCUUGUCGGGUAAGUUCCGACCCGCACGAAAGGCGUAAUGAUUUGGAUGCUGUCUCGGAGAGGGGCUCGGUGAAAUAGACUUGUCUGUGAAGAUGCGGACUACCUGCACCAGGACAGAAAGACCCUAUGAAGCUUUACUGUAACUUGAAAUUGAAAUUGGACUUUACUUGCGCAGUAUAGGUGGGAGGCGUUGAUUUUAUUCUUGCGGGAAUUUAGGAGCCAUCAGUGAGAUACCACUCUGGUAAUGUUAGAUUUCUAACUUUGUAUCAUAAUCUGGUCAAAGAACAGUUUCAGGCGGGCAGUUUGACUGGGGCGGUCGCCUCCCAAACGGUAACGGAGGCGUACAAAGGUUUCCUCUGAACGUGUAGAAAUCGUAUCUAGAGUGUAAAGGCAUAAGGAAGCUUGACUGUGAGACCUACAAGUCGAGCAGGGACGAAAGUCGGUCUUAGUGAUCUGACGGUGCUGAGUGGAAAGGCCGUCACUCAACGGAUAAAAGUUACUCUAAGGAUAACAGGCUGAUCUCCCCCAAGAGUUCACAUCGACGGGGAGGUUUGGCACCUCGAUGUCGGCUCAUCGCAUCCUGGGGCGGUAGUACGUCCCAAGGGUUGGGCUGUUCGCCCAUGAAAGCGGUACGCGAGCUGGGUUCAGAACGUCGUGAGACAGUUCGGUCCAUAUCCGGUGUAGGCGUUAGAAUAUUGAGAGGAUCCUUCUUUAGUACGAGAGGACCGAGAAGGACAUACCUCUGGUGUACCAGUUAUCGUGCCAACGGUAAACGCUGGGUAGCUAUGUAUGGAAAGGAUAACCGCUGAAAGCAUCUAAGUGGGAAGCCUACCUCAAGAUAAGUAUUCUC